CUGGUGAGCUCUGUACAGCUGCAGCUCUCAGUAACCCUUGCAACACUCCCAGCUGGAGCAGGUCGUGGAAUCACAGCGCCCUUGCCAAUUGUGCAGUUGUCUGAUCAUGUGAAGAUCACCCACCUAGCUCUGGCUUGGCCUGCGAGGGAUCUCAAAUAAGGCAAGCAAGGCCAACACGUUACUGAGAAGCAGAAGUGUCAUCGUUCCUCCAACUGAUAGUAGCUAUGGAAACCGUGACAUCACCGCCGACAUAGCGAUACAUAAAAAUUCAAGCGGCUGGGGACCGGUUGCUAGGAGAGCUCCGCUCGGGAAAGUCAUCGGGCAGGCAGCCAAGGGACGGG
rnacentral:lncRNA from 1 species